GAUGAACGCUGGCGGCGUGCCUAAUACAUGCAAGUCGAGCGAACAGACGAGGAGCUUGCUCCUCUGACGUUAGCGGCGGACGGGUGAGUAACACGUGGAUAACCUACCUAUAAGACUGGGAUAACUUCGGGAAACCGGAGCUAAUACCGGAUAAUAUAUUGAACCGCAUGGUUCAAUAGUGAAAGACGGUUUUGCUGUCACUUAUAGAUGGAUCCGCGUCGCAUUAGCUAGUUGGUAAGGUAACGGCUUAGCAAGGCAGCGAAGCGUAGCCGACCUGAGAGGGUGAUCGACCAGACUGGAUCUGAGAAUCGCUCCAGACUCCUGCGGUAGGAAGCAGUAGGGAAUCUUCCGGAAUGCGGCAAUGCGUAACGUAGCGAAACCGCGGGAGGCAUGAAGGACUUCGGACGGGAGAACUCUGAUAGUAGGAAGGAAGAAAUGUUUUAGUACCUGUGCACGUCUUGACGGUACCUAAUCAGAAAGCCACGGCUAACUACGUG
rnacentral:rRNA from 1 species